AUUGAACGCUGGCGGCAUGCCUUACACAUGCAAGUCGAACGGCAGCACGGGGGCAACCCUGGUGGCGAGUGGCGAACGGGUGAGUAAUGCAUCGGAACGUGCCCCGUAGCGGGGGAUAACCAGUCGAAAGACUGGCUAAUACCGCAUACGCUCCACGGAGGAAAGCAGGGGAUCGCAAGACCUUGCACUAUGGGAGCGGCCGAUGCCCGAUUAGCUAGUUGGUGAGGUAAAGGCUCACCAAGGCGACGAUCGGUAGCUGGUUUGAGAGAACGACCAGCCACACUGGGACUGAGACACGGCCCAGACUCCUACGGGAGGCAGCAGUGGGGAAUUUUGGACAAUGGGCGAAAGCCUGACCCAGCAACGCCGCGUGAGGGAGGAAAUCCUUCGGGAUGUAAACCUCACAAGCAAGGGAAGAGAGCUCAGGGCCGAAUAAGCUUUGAGUCCGACGGUACCUUGCGUAAGCCACGGCUAACUACGUGCCA
rnacentral:rRNA from 1 species